GGCGAGGUCGAUCGGUGGCUGCAGCUGCUUUGGGAGACGAAACCCGUAUGAAAAUGAGAAGGCGGGACGAGCGGAGAGGGAGACGCUGGAGCUCAAUUCCAACUCCUCUCGCUUGAAGUUGACCUUGUCACUCAGAGAAAUGGACUCUCCAUCUUCCUUCCAGUGGCCCUUCAAGCUGGACCGCCCGCGAGUACUGUCGUCUGGGACCAUGACCUCCUCGUAGUACUUGUCGCAGACCUCGGACAGGGGCACGUCCAUUUGUGUCUGCGACAUCGAGGCCAUGGUCCACCUAUUCCGAAUGUCGGGGUGCGGGUUCGGCCUCUCUGAGCCGCGGCGUGGUGGAGACUUGGACAACGCCUGUGGGCCACAUACAACGAGAGAAGCCAAGGGUCGGGGGAAGGGCAGGCUGGGAAGGCGACUUUGAGUCGGGACCUGUGGGGACUCUGGGGCACGGAUUGGUGGGAGCUGCAGGGAGCCAGGGCUGAGUGAGAGGUUCCACCAGGGGCCUGGAUGGGACCUGGGGUGAAUCUGGAGGGCUGAUGGGUGAGGGGUCCGGGGAAAGUUCUUACUUUUAAAGGCCUUUCCUCCAUGGUUCAGCCCCAACGGACACAGUCGCCACAGGCCUCAGGGCGGGGAGAAGAGGGUCACGCUCCAGGAAGUGGGGACGCGACCUUCGAAAUGGCUGGGGUCUCGCGCGCGGACAGUUCAAACCACAGUCCUCCACGCCCUCCCUCCCAGCCCACCGCUAUUCGGGGUGCUGAGGUUGAAGACCCCUACCCGGUCGCCUCCAGGCAGAGACGGGAGUCUAAGUGCAGCCAAAGGGGCUACGAUUUAUCCGACGUGAUCGCCCGGGGGUCCCGCGGUGGCCCGAGGAAAGGACGCCCACGCCCACUCGCAUGCCCCGAGCGCACGCCCGCAGUGGUGCAGACUGACGUUUAUUUAUGCAGGCUUUGAGGCACAGAAGUGAGAUGUGCUGAGGGACAGGCCCGGCCAGAGCAGCGAGACAGAAAGGCUUGGGGGUCUGGAAAUGGACAGAAGUGAGGAAGGGGCCGAGGCGAGAGGCUGCGCACAGGCGGCCGGGAGCCUCCUCCCCAGGCUUCAGCCGCAUUGAAAGAGGGCUCUUUGGUCGAAUAAGCCAAGCAUGCCGGGGAGACAGCAGGAACGAAGCCCUUUGAGAGGCCCGCGCCAGGGAUCCUGCCCCUACACUGGCACGCCUUUGUCUCGGGGGCGCCCGGGACCCCGGGGCCGCGCUGGCUUCCUGGGGGGGUUGGGACGGCGACGACCCCGCGGCGCCCGAGGCAGCGCGCAGCCGCGCUCGCUCUGCGUGUCAGAGGACUCGUCGAUGAAGGCCAGAUUCUCGCUGGGGUAAUCCAAGGCGGAGGCUGUGGGCGGGGAAGGCGUUUGGACCUUCUCCGGGGGUGCAGGAGAUGGGGGUUUGCGGACCGGCUGCGCUGGACAGGGCGGUGGGGGCAGGAGUGGCGGCUCCUUCUCCUGCGGUGGUACGGUGGGCCCGGCUCGCUGGGUCACCCGCGCAGUCACUGUGCCAGUCCAGCUGGCAGCCUGCGCCGUGAGGCCACCCAUCUGCGCGGGGAGGAACAGUAAUCCUCGACCAAGGGUCCGUGACCCCCUCUGCAACCCGGAAGCCUGUCCCUUCCCCAGUGAGGCAUCAGCAUUGCUUUUGCCUGGUCCUCCAGACUCAGCUGGCCGAGGAUAGGGCUCCUCGCCUAGGCUGCGCGCCCUCUUCUCUGGCACCAGCACUGAAUCGCGCCCUUCUCCGGGAGUCUUUUAGAAAAAUCCCAUUUUUAUUUCAGAAUUCCCCCUAGUACCGGCAGAGCUUUGCGCCACUGUCCUGCCAGUUGCUCUCAGUAUGAUGGCAAAACACAGUUAAAUGUAUAUUUAGAUAAAUGGCAAAUAAAUUUUUAGAAUAGUA